rnacentral:misc_RNA from 1 species
UCUCCGUUGGUGAACCAGCGGAGGGAUCAUUACCGAGUUUACAACUCCCAAACCCAAUGUGAACCAUACCAAACUGUUGCCUCGGCGGAGUCACGCCCCGGGUGCGUCGCAGCCCCGGAACCAGGUGCCCGCCGGAGGGACCAACCAAACUCUUUCUGUAGUCCCCUCGCGGACGUUAUUUUUACAGCUCUGAGCAAAAAUUCAAAAUGAAUCAAAACUUUCAACAACGGAUCUCUUGGUUCUG